UGUUUAUUGAAAGUGCUUUAACUUACGCCGCCAUAAACUGUUUCCUUUCAAUAUAAGAGGCGAGGGCUUAUCUGUUCCAUUUCGGGCAUGGAGAUUGCCUAAGUUCCUUGCUUUACAACUGUUUCUACAAUCUAUUUGGGGCUUUUUAGUUGAGAGAAAAAGUUGA